rnacentral:rRNA from 1 species
CGCCUGUUUAUCAAAAACAUCGCCUCUUGCUUUACAUAAGAGGUCCCGCCUGCCCUGUGACUUAGUUUAACGGCCGCGGUAUUAUAACCGUGCGAAGGUAGCAUAAUAAAUUGUUCUCUAAAUAAGGACUAGUAUGAAAGGCAUCACGAGGGCUUAACUGUCUCCCUUUUUCAAUCAAUGAAACUGAUCUUCUCGUGAAGAAGCGAGAAUAAAUUUAUAAGACGAGAAGACCCCAUGGAGCUUUAAACUUCUCACCACUUAUUUAUCAUUACACCACUAUAUAUAAUAAAAAUGUUAAUUGAAAGUUUUCGGCUGGGGUGACCCUGGAGAAAAAUAAAUCCUCCAGGAUGAACGGAAUAAAAUCCUAAUCAAAGAGCUACAGCUCUAAGAAUCAAAACACUGACAUCAUUGACCCAACCAUUUGAUCAACGAACCAAGUUACCCUGGGGAUAACAGCGCAAUCCAUUUCAAGAGCCCCUAUCGACAAAUGGGUUUACGACCUCGAUGUUGGAUCGGGGUAUCCCAGUGGCGCAGCCGCUACUAAAGGUUCGUUUGUUCAACGAUUAAUAACCCCACGUGAUCUGAGUUCAGACCGG